CUAGACUCCUACGGGAGGCAGCAGUGGGGAAUAUUGGGCAAUGGGCGAAAGCCUGACCCAGCAAUGCCGCGUGAAUGAAGAAGGUCUUAGGAUUGUAAAAUUCUGUCCUAUGGGAAGAAACAAAUGACGGUACCAUAGGAGGAAGCCCCGGCUAACUACGUGCCAGCAGCCGCGGUAAUACGUAGGGGGCGAGCGUUGUCCGGAAUUACUGGGCGUAAAGCGCUCGUAGGCGGUAUGUCAAGUCAAGGGUGAAAUCCCCGCGCUAACGUGGGAACUGCCUUUGAAACUGGCAAACUGGAGUGUGUGAGAGGAUAGUGGAAUUCCAGGUGUAGGAGUGAAAUCCGUAGAUAUCUGGAGGAACAUCAGUGGCGAAGGCGACUAUCUGGCACAUAACUGACGCUGAGGAGCGAAAGCGUGGGUAGCAAACAGGAUUAGAUACCCGUGUAA
rnacentral:rRNA from 1 species